UACGUAGGGUGCAAGCGUUGUCCGGAAUUAUUGGGCGUAAAGAGCUCGUAGGUGGUCUGUCGCGUCGGCUGUGAAAACUCGGGGCUCAACCCCGAGCCUGCAGUCGAUACGGGCAGACUCGAGUGCGGUAGGGGAGACUGGAAUUCCUGGUGUAGCGGUGAAAUGCGCAGAUAUCAGGAGGAACACCGGUGGCGAAGGCGGAUCUCUGGGCCGAUACUGACACUGAGGAGCGAAAGCGUGGGGAGCGAACAGG
rnacentral:rRNA from 1 species